GUAGGGCUCAUCACGUGUGGCUGAUUUGGCGGCUCAACACCGGAUGCUGGCACUUUCCACCUCUUCGCUCUGAGGUGCCCCGGGGUUUCCUCCUCAGGGGAAGCAAGAUGGCAGCGGCCGAGGCGUUGACAGGACGUUUUCUUCGAGGGCUCAGGAGGCUUUGCCCAGAAGCCCCGCCCAGCAGGUGCUGCCCAGAUGGCCUGCCCAAUUCCCAAGCUGGGGCAGAGUGGAGGCCAAGAGCAUAAACUGGCCAAAGGAAAACCUGGAGGCUGCUUUCACAAUAAAGGGGAAUGGUAUUGGGGCAAAAGCAACAGUUCCCUACAGUCUUAAUUUCACUGGGAGAGAAACUUACACCCAGUAAGGCAAGAAGGAGGGCUUUCACCAGACCCGACCAUGCUGGCACCCUGAUCUCAGACAUCCAGCCUCUGGAACUAUUCAUCCUUCUUUACCUUCCUCCUGCUGAUUCUGUGCUGCCCCAGGAUUGCAGCAAUGGUCUCCGUAUCCUCUGGCUUCGGGGUGAUUUGACCAAUGGAAAGUGUCAACAGGAGAUGGGGAGGGAGCAGAUAAAGGUCAGCUGCUCCCUCCAGGUCCCAGUAAUGCCCAGAUGGUGACAGCUCCCAAGGUUACUAGUCCCAGGGGCCGCACCGUUGCUUUUCUUAAACCUGCUCUCACCUUAAUAAAUAAUCUCUUUAUUAAAUUCAUCUCAAAAUACCA